rnacentral:lncRNA from 10 species
GGGGUUGUGGCCUCUGGGAGAGAAAAAGGCAGGGUCAGUCCCUCCCCAGCCCAAGUUAGAACAAAUUAGGUGGCCACUGGGUGUGGUGGUGCAUGCCUAUAAUCCCAGUGCUGAAGCAGGAGGAUCGCUUGAGCAUGGGAGGUUGAGGCUGCAGGGAGCUGUGAUCACACCACUGCACUCCAGCCUGAGUUACAGAGUGAGACUCUUAUUUACAAAGAAGAAAUUUUUUUUCACUGGGAAGCUGAGGCAGGAGAAUGGCAUGAACCCGGGAGGCAGAGCUUGCAGUGAGCUGAGAUCGUGCCACUGUACUCCAGCCUGGGCGACAGAGCAAGACUCCGUCUUGAAAAAAAAAAAAAA